rnacentral:rRNA from 1 species
AUUGAACGCUGGCGGCAUGCCUUACACAUGCAAGUCGAACGGCAGCACGGGUGCUUGCACCUGUUGGCGAGUGGCGAACGGGUGAGUAAUACAUCGGAACAUGUCCUGUAGUGGUGGAUAGCCCGGCGAAAGCCGGAUUAAUACCGCAUACGAUCUACGGAUGAAAGCGGGGGACCUUCGAGCCUCGCGCUAUAGGGGUUGCCGAUGGCUGAUUAGCUAGUUGGUGGGGUAAAGGCCUACCAAGGGGACGAUCAGGAGCUGGUCUGAGAGGACGACCAGCCACACUGGGACUGAGACACGGCCCAGACUCCUAAGGGAGGCAGCAGUGGGGAAUUUUGGACAAUGGGCGAAAGCAUGAUACAGCAAUGCCGCGUGUGUGAAGAAGGCCUUCGGGUUGUAAAGCACUUUUGUCCGGAAAGAAAUCCUUGGCCCUAAUACGGUCGGGGGAUGACGGUACCGGAAGAAUAAGCACCGGCUAACUACGUG